UACCGUUGCUCACGUAGGAGCGCGCAUUAUCCAUUUGUCGACCAAUCAGACAGCUUAAAUUACAGAUCCAGUUUAAUACGAUUUACUAAUUUUUUGCCAAUGCGCUCAUAAGAAGAUAUCAUUGUUUCACAUAUAUCUAUUUGUACAGUUUAAUUCCAUUGUUGGUAUCAUAAAUAAAGUAUUUUCAUAACUUUCAAGAUAACUCCGCUGUACGUUGUAUGUGAUUAGAACUCUAUAAUCGAUAGUACAGCUGCUGCCAUCUGUCGAUAGCGUAGAAAAGAGUCCGAAAGUCAUGCGACUUCAAAUUUUCCGGUAACAUGGCAUCGCUCGACGACGAGCUCAAAUCACAUUUCAUUCGUGCAACUGAUGAAUUGGAAUGGGUUCCUUUGUCUUUGACUCUAAUCGAAUAUCCACAAGGAGACAUACUUGGUAAAUUAUUAGCUCUGAUAAGUUUAACACCUUUCGUUAUUUUGACUGGUUUUAUGACAUUGAUUCUCUUUAGAAGAGAUUUGCAUACUAUUGCAUUUUUCAGUGGAGUUAUAUUGAAUGAAUUUGUUAAUUUAAUAUUAAAACAUACCAUUCGUGAAGCAAGACCAUUAAAACGUGAUGGUAUUUAUAAUGAAUAUGGUAUGCCUUCUACACAUGCACAAUUUAUGUGGUUCUUUACUACAUAUGCAAUACUUUUCAUAUGUAUUAGGUUACAUCACAAUAGUAAUAGCACAAUAUCUGAAAGGUUUUGGCGAAUAAUUAUUGUGGCUGCUUGUAUAAUAGUAGCUGUUUUAGUAUCUUAUGGCAGAAUUUACCUACAAUACCACUCAACUUCCCAAGUUUUAUGUGGUGUACUUGUGGGAGUUACUUUAGGAGUAGCAUGGUUUUUAAUCACACAUACAAUUCUGACUCCUUUGUUUCCUCUUAUUGUAUCAUGGCGAGUAUCAGAAUAUCUGCUGUUGCGUGACACAACUUUAAUUCCAAAUGUAUUGUGGUUUGAAUAUACAAAUAUUCGUACAGAAGUUCGAGCACGUUCGCGAAAACUUGUGUCUAUGAAAUCACAAUGACGUUUAAUGGCUGGCCAAUGGGCUAAUAAAUUUUGCACCUUUGGACUUAAUAAACAGUUCAACUCCCGUGUGAAACCCAUUACCACUCGUUCUACGGAGAAAUUAUUUCAUCGUUUGGAACAGUAAUGAUUCUAGGAUAAAGUCCUGAACUUCCUGCAGUUUUUUCAUCAAAGACAUCAAUGUUGAUUGGACUACUUUCCUCAAGAAUUUCUUGAUUAUAAACUAAACUAGUGGUCCAUUAUCAGGUACAAAUAUUACUUUUUGCUAUAUGAAUACCUUUUAACUGUAGGAUAAGCUGAUCAACUCAAAUAGAUUCAUAGAAUCUGUGAUGAGCGAUAAUUGUAUUUCGUAUACUCAAUAUAAGAAUGUUUAUUUUUUUUAUAAA